GGAGGAGAUUGGGAUAUAUUUAGACUUCAAUAAAUAACCAGCAAUAAUAGUAAGUUGAUCGAUGAGUCAAGGUUUUUACAUAUGACAAUCAAAUAAAGAUCAUUUCUAAUUGUGCGUACGUAUUCUCAUGCGAGUGGAGCUAGAAUACUUUUACAAGUAUCAUUGGGGUGGUGCUUUAGUAUUUUUAGCUCUUGGAUGGAGAAAUGUGAGGUUGAGAUGAUGGUGGUAGGUGGUGGUAGGUGGUGGUAGGUGGAAUAGUGUUUGAUCCAAGGACUAUUAGUAAUCAAGAAGUAGAUCCAAUGGCUAAAAACCUAAUAGCACCAUGUGGGUGAUACUUGUAAAAGUAUCCUAGCUCAACUCCUCUCAUGCCAAGCUAGUUGAUCGUGAGUUUCAGACAUUAUCCUUAACCGAUGAGGGUGGCCACAAGUACAACAAUUGGGGCUAUGCCCUCGAAACCCACCGAAGUAUGCGCGGUAAAUUACUAUUACUAAUAAGUGGAGUUAAGUUCUUAUGACACUCCAAUAGUUCCACUUCGAAUGAUGUAGGAGAGUGUGAUGGUUUAUAAGUGACAGACAUAUUAGUAAUAGUAGUUUGGACUUAAGCAUUUUGUAUUGAUAGUUUGGAUCUAACGAAUUAUUAUUGCUAGUAAGUCGGGAUCGUUAUAUUUGGUAUCCGAGUCAAUUAUCAGCCAAUAAUAUAUGAUGAGUCGAUGAGCCUCAGUUGAGCCAGGGUUUGGAAAUAAAUGACGGGUUAAGCCAGGGUUUGGGAGUGACAGAAAUGACAGAUUAAGUCAGAAUUUGAAAUUAAAUGACAGGUUAUACUAGGGUUUGAAUGACAAGACUAGUAAAUAUAGUCCUAAUCGGAUAAAGUGGUCGGGACAGUUUAAUGAGUUUAUAAGUGAAGAACAAACUAAUAAUAAUAAUUGAAUUUAAGUAUUUUUGGGCAUGUAGUUUGGGUCCAAUAAAUUAUUUUUAUUAGGUUGGGUUGUUACAGUUCUUUAGUAUGAUUACCAUUGCUAAUGGUAUUAUU
rnacentral:lncRNA from 1 species